rnacentral:rRNA from 1 species
AUUUGCCUUUAGGAGGGGGACAACAAUUGGAAACGGUUGCUAAUACCCCAUAUGCUUUCGAGUGAAAUGGAUUUCCGCCUAGAGAGAAGCUUGCGGCUGAUUAGCUUGUUGGUGAGGUAAUGGCUCACCAAGGCGACGAUCAGUAUCUGGUUUGAGAGGACGAUCAGACACACUGGAACUGAGACACGGUCCAGACUCCUACGGGAGGCAGCAGUAGGGAAUUUUCCGCAAUGGGCGAAAGCCUGACGGAGCAAUACCGCGUGAGGGAUGACUGCCUAUGGGUUGUAAACCUCUUUUUUCAGGGAGGAAUAAAUGACGUGUACCUGAAGAAUAAGCAUCGGCUAACUCCGUGCCAGCAGCCGCGGUAAGACGGAGGAUGCAAGUGUUAUCCGGAAUCACUGGGCGUAAAGCGUCUGUAGGUGGCUCGAUAAGUCAACUGUUAAAUCUUGAAGCUCAACUUCGAAAUCGCAGUCGAAACUAUCGGACUAGAGUAUAGUAGAGGUAAAGGGAAUUUCCAGUGGAGCGGUGAAAUGCGUAGAUAUUGGAAAGAACACCGAUGGCGAAGGCACUUUACUGGGCUAUUACUGACACUCAGAGACGAAAGCUAGGGUAGCAAAUGG